AUUUUUUACUCACUCGCUGCGCUCGUUCGUAAAAAAGUCUUUUCACCACUCAAACGACGUUAAAUUUAUAUCUUCGCAUCCCCCCCCCCCACUGGAGCUGCGGAGAAACAGCAGACUAAUUAGUAAUAUUCACAAACUAAAUAGACAUCACAAAAUUAGUAAUAUUCCGAAGUUUCGUUGCGAAAUGUUGUAAAAUGCGGGUAAUAUAGCCCUGCGAAGUUUGCCGUUUUUCAGUCAUUUUGUAUUACGCGCGGGAAAUUGAUACCUUUUUUCGGAAAGCGGUAUCAAUUUCCAGCGCGUAAUACAAAAUGACUGAAAAACGGCAAACUUCGCAGUGCUAUAUUAUCCGCAUUUUACAACAUUUCGCAACGAAAC